AGUGAACGCUGGCGGUAGGCCUAACACAUGCAAGUCGAACGGCAGCACAGUAAGAGCCUGCUCUUACGGGUGGCGAGUGGCGGACGGGUGAGGAAUACAUCGGAAUCUACUUUUUCGUGGGGGAUAACGUAGGGAAACUUACGCUAAUACCGCGUACGACCUACGGGUGAAAGCAGGGGAUCUUCGGACCUUGCGCGAUUGAAUGAGCCGAUGUCGGAUUAGCUAGUUGGCGGGGUAAAGGCCCACCAAGGCGACGAUCCGUAGCUGGUCUAAGAGGAUGAUCAGCCACACUGGAACUGAGACACGGUCCAGACUCCUACGGGAGGCAGCAGUGGGGAAUAUUGGACAAUGGGCGCAAGCCUGAUCCAGCCAUACCGCGUGGGUGAAGAAGGCCUUCGGGUUGUAAAGCCCUUUUGUUGGGAAAGAAAAGCAGCAGGUUAAUACCCCGCUGUUCUGACGGUACCCAAAGAAUAAGCACCGGCUAACUUCGUG
rnacentral:rRNA from 1 species